ensembl:lncRNA
AUUAUAUAGUAGUCAUGGCUUUGUUGUUACCUAGAGGUAUAUUAUAUAGUAGUCAUGGCUAUGUUGUUACCUGGAGGUAUAUUAUAUAGUAGUCAUGGCUAUGUUGUUACCUGGAGGUAUAUUAUAUAGUAGUCAUGGCUUUGUUGUUACGUAGAGGUAUAUUAUAUAGUAGUCAUGGCUAUGUUGUUACCUAGAGGUAUAUUAUAUAGUAGUCAUGGCUUUGUUGUUACGUAGAGGUAUAUUAUAUAGUAGUCAUGGCUAUGUUGUUAGCUAGAGGUAUAUUAUAUAGUAGUCAUGGCUAUGUUGUUACCUGGAGGUAUAUUUUGAACAGUAAAUUAUUUGAAAAAUUAAAUAUAAUCACUCUUAGUACUGUACGUGUCAGUGAUACGUACAGUGUAUAAACAUGCAAAUAUUGAUGGGGUGGCUGACAAUGUCACGGAAGUGGUGGCAGGUAGUCUAGCGGUUAAGAACAUUAGCUGAAAGGUCAGUGCUUUCGAAUCCCUAACCUGACUAUGUGAAAAAUCUGUCAAUGUGCUCUUGAGCAAGGCACUUCAUCCUAAUUGCUCCUGUAAGUCGUUCUGAAUAAACGUGUCUACUAAAUGACAAAAACGUAUCAAUGGGUCUAGAGGCCAUGCUUUGUUAUGAUUCUGAAAGGCCAGAUAGCUAACAACAAUGACCAGAAGCAGCCAUGUGGGGCAUCGUAGG